AUUCAAGGAAACAAGUGAAAAAAAAGGUGGUGAGCAUUCUGGUAAAAGUAAAGAGAUAGUACCCAAAGAUCAAGAAUCGGAGUGCUCGAAAUUCGAUUCCUAUUACAAUGAGCUCAAGAUAGUCGGUAGAUAACUCAUUUCGUUGAGGGCUACAGUUAGACUUACAUCCUCAAAAACUAUAGGUUUACCGCUUUUGAUACUGUUGGUCGUUCGUGGGCCCACGUGUCACUGUAAAUUAAAUUUUAUACUUUGGUU